CUACGGGCGGCAGCAGUGAGGGAUUUUGCGCAAUGGGGGGAACCCUGACGCAGCAACGCCGCGUGAGUGAAGAAGGCCUUUGGGUCGUAAAGCUCUGUCGACAGGGAAGAAGUGUAUUAUAUUAAUAGUAUGAUAUAUUGACGGUACCUGUAGAGGAAGCACCGGCUAACUCCGUGCCAGCAGCCGCGGUAAUACGGGGGGUGCAAGCGUUAUUCGGAAUUAUUGGGCGUAAAGGGCACGCAGGCGGAUUUGUUAGUCAGAUGUGAAAUUCCAGGGCUUAACCUUGGGCGUGCAUUUGAUACGGCAAGUCUUGAGUACGGGAGAGGGAAGCGGAAUUCCUGGUGUAGAGGUGAAAUUCGUAGAUAUCAGGAGGAACACCGAAGGCGAAGGCAGCUUUCUGGUCCGAUACUGACGCUGUAGUGCGAAGGCGUGGGGAGCAAACAGGAUUAGAUACCCUAGUAGUC
rnacentral:rRNA from 1 species